rnacentral:rRNA from 1 species
AGAGUGAACGCUGGCGGCAGGCCUAACACAUGCAAGUCGAACGGCAGCACAGCAGAGCUUGCUCUGUGGGUGGCGAGUGGCGGACGGGUGAGGAAUACGUCGGAAUCUGCCUUUUUGUGGGGGAUAACGUAGGGAAACUUACGCUAAUACCGCAUACGACCUGCGGGUGAAAGCGGAGGACCUUCGGGCUUCGCGCAGAAAGAUGAGCCGACGUCGGAUUAGCUAGUUGGAGGGG